rnacentral:rRNA from 1 species
UACGUAGGUGGCAAGCGUUGUCCGGAAUACUGGGCGUAAAGCGUGCGCAGGCGGUUUUGUAAGCCAGAUGUGAAAGCCCCCGGGCUUAACCUGGGAAUGGCAUUUGGGACUGCAAGGCUUGAGUGCGGCAGAGGAGACUGGAAUUCCUGGUGUAGCAGUGAAAUGCGUAGAUAUCAGGAGGAAUACCGAUGCGAAGGCAGGUCUCUGGGCUGACACUGACGCUCAUGCACGAAAGCGUGGGGGACAAACAGG